rnacentral:tRNA from 1 species
GGAUGUGUAGCUCAGCUUGGAUUAGAGUACUCGGCUCCGGACCGAGCGGUCGGGAGUUCGAAUCUCCCCACAUCCGCCA